UACGUAGGGUGCAAGCGUUAAUCGGAAUUACUGGGCGUAAAGCGUGCGCAGGCGGUUUUGUAAGUCUGACGUGAAAUCCCCGGGCUCAACCUGGGAAUUGCGUUGGAGACUGCAAGGCUAGAAUCUGGCAGAGGGUGGUAGAAUUCCACGUGUAGCAGUGAAAUGCGUAGAGAUGUGGAGGAACACCGAUGUCGAAGGCAGCCCUCUGAGUCAAGAUUGACGCUCAUGCACGAAAGCGUGGGGAGCAAACAGG
rnacentral:rRNA from 1 species